rnacentral:rRNA from 1 species
GACGAACGCUGGCGGCGUGCUUAACACAUGCAAGUCGAACGAUGAAGCUGGAGCUUGCUCCGGUGGAUUAGUGGCGAACGGGUGAGUAACACGUGAGCAAUCUGCCCUUGACUCUGGGAUAACUGCGGGAAACUGUAGCUAAUACCGGAUACGAGACCUGAAGGCAUCUUCGGGUCUGGAAAGAAUUUCGGUCAAGGAUGAGCUCGCGGCCUAUCAGCUUGUUGGUGAGGUAAUGGCUAACCAAGGCGACGACGGGUAGCCGCCCUGAGAGGGCGACCGGCCACACUGGGACUGGGACACGGCCCAGACUCCUACGGGAGGCAGCAGUGGGGAAUAUUGCACAAUGGGCGAAAGCCUGAUGCAGCAACGCCGCGUGAGGGAUGAAGGCCUCCGGGUUGUAAACCUCUUUUAGCAGGGAAGAAGCGAAAGUGACGGUACCUGCAGAAAAAGCACCGGCUAACUACGUGCCAGCCGCCGCAGUAA